GCCUUCGUGGUGUAGUGGUCAGCCCGCUCGGCGCGUAUUCGAGAGGUCCAUGGUUCGAAUUCCGUCGAGGGCA
rfam:Stegodyphus mimosarum contig48783, whole genome shotgun sequence.